UACGUAGGGUGCGAGCGUUGUCCGGAAUUACUGGGCGUAAAGGGCUCGCAGGCGGCCGACUAAGUCAGACGUGAAAUCCCUUGGCUUAACCAAGGAAUGGCGUCUGAUACUGGACGGCUUGAAUUCGGGAGAGGGAUGUGGAAUUCCAGGUGUAGCGGUGAAAUGCGUAGAUAUCUGGAGGAACACCGGUGGCGAAGGCGGCAUCCUGGACCGAUAUUGACGCUGAGGAGCGAAAGCCAGGGGAGCAAACGGG
rnacentral:rRNA from 1 species